rnacentral:rRNA from 1 species
CCUACGGGAGGCAGCAGUGAGGAAUAUUGGACAAUGGGCGCAAGCCUGAUCCAGCCAUGCCGCGUGCAGGAAGACGGUCCUAUGGAUUGUAAACUGCUUUUAUACAGGAAGAAACACCUCUACGUGUAGAGACUUGACGGUACUGUAUGAAUAAGCAUCGGCUAACUCCGUGCCAGCAGCCGCGGUAAUACGGAGGAUGCAAGCGUUAUCCGGAAUCAUUGGGUUUAAAGGGUCCGUAGGCGGUUUAAUAAGUCAGUGGUGAAAGCCCAUCGCUCAACGAUGGAACGGCCAUUGAUACUGUUAAACUUGAAUUAUUAGGAAGUAACUAGAAUAUGUAGUGUAGCGGUGAAAUGCUUAGAGAUUACAUGGAAUACCAAUUGCGAAGGCAGGUUACUACUAAUAUAUUGACGCUGAUGGACGAAAGCGUGGGGAGCGAACAGGAUUAGAUACCCUGGUAGUCCACGCCGUAAACGAUGGAUACUAGCUGUUCGGAGCAAUCUGAGUGGCUAAGCGAAAGUGAUAAGUAUCCCACCUGGGAGUACGUUCGCAAGAAUGAAACUCAAAUGAAAUUGAGG